rnacentral:rRNA from 1 species
CUACGGGGGGCAGCAGUGAGGAAUAUUGCACAAUGGGGGGAACCCUGAUGCAGCAACGCCGCGUGGAGGAUGACGCGUUUCGGUGUGUAAACUCCUUUUAUAUGUCAAGAAAAUGACGGUAGCAUAUGAAUAAGCACCGGCUAACUCCGUGCCAGCAGCCGCGGUAAUACGGAGGGUGCAAGCGUUACUCGGAAUCACUGGGCGUAAAGGACGCGUAGGCGGGCUUGUAAGUCAGGUGUGAAAUCCUACAGCUUAACUGUAGAACUGCACUUGAAACUACGAGCCUAGAGUAUGGGAGGGGAAGAUGGAAUUAGUGGUGUAGGGGUAAAAUCCGUAGAUAUCACUAGGAAUACCUAAAGCGAAGGCGAUCUUCUGGAACAUAACUGACGCUAAGGCGUGAAAGCGUGGGGAGCAAACAGGAUUAGAUACCCCGGUAGUC